UACGUAGGGUGCAGGCGUUAAUCGGAAUUACUGGGCGUAAAGCGUGCGCAGGCGGUCUCUUAAGACAGGUGUGAAAUCCCCGGGCUUAACCUGGGAACUGCGCUUGUAACUGAGAGGCUUGAGUGUGCCAGAGGGGGGUGGAAUUCCACGUGUAGCAGUGAAAUGCGUAGAGAUCGGGAGGAACAUCAGUGCGAAGGCGGCUCUCUGGACCAGCACUGACACUGAGGCACGAAAGCGUGGGGAGCAAACAGGA
rnacentral:rRNA from 1 species